rnacentral:lncRNA from 1 species
UGAGAUUAGGCUGCCAGUGGGCUCUGUCCUGGGGUGAGAACCUGCCAUGGCUCUGAGAACUCUGGGCCAGAGCUGAGGGCGAGGUAGGUGCUCUGGGUGGCUGUGAUUGGGAGUGAGUGACUUUUUCAUCCUUUCAUUCAUUUUGUGAAAUUUGAUGAAGUCCUUGGGACCGAGAUUUGGAACUAAGGAUUCAGCAGUGAAUGGAACUGACACAAAGAGUGUCAGGUGCCUCAGUGUGGAACCUCUGUCCAGUACUCAGAGGUGUCUUCCAUUACCAGUACUUAAGACAACAAAAUACUACAAACCACUGCAAGCCUGACAUGGGGGCUGGAGAGAUGGCUCAGCGGUCAAGAAUAUGGGCUGCUAAUCCAGAGGACGUGGGUUCAGUUUCCAGCACCCACAUGGCCGCUCACAAUUCCAGUUUCAGAGGUCCAGUUCCUUAUGAUCAUGAAGGGGAGCAUGGCGGCAUGCAGGCAGACUCGGUGCUGGAGCUGAGAGCGGCACAUCUUGACUCAGAGGCAACAGGAAGUCGACUGCCAUUCUCACCCUUCUUUACUAGAGCUUUAUUGAUGAAAGACCCCCAGACCCCUAAGGGCCUCAGGAUCCCGAGGAGCCCCCGAGACUCAGAAACCAGACCAAGAGCUGCAAAAGCAAGAGGGUUUAUUGAACGAAUGCAUUCGGGUGUCAGCAAUAUUGGGAAAGCUGCACACCCCAGCAUGGGGUGCAAGCUCCUUAUAUAGGAGAAAACCGCAGAUCAGCAUUCAGGCCGGGGGCACAAGGUGAUUGAUUACAAAGUAUGAUCUCAUGUUAGAGUGGUCACCCAGGUGUGACCUGCUUUUCUACAAAGGAAAAACCACAGAAC